rnacentral:rRNA from 1 species
GACGAACGCUGGCGGCGUGCUUAACACAUGCAAGUCGAACGGAAAGGCCCUGCUUUUGUGGGGUGCUCGAGUGGCGAACGGGUGAGUAACACGUGAGUAACCUGCCCUUGACUUUGGGAUAACUUCAGGAAACUGGGGCUAAUACCGGAUAGGAGCUCCUGCUGCAUGGUGGGGGUUGGAAAGUUUCGGCGGUUGGGGAUGGACUCGCGGCUUAUCAGCUUGUUGGUGGGGUAGUGGCUUACCAAGGCUUUGACGGGUAGCCGGCCUGAGAGGGUGACCGGCGACAUUGCGACUGCGAGACGGCCCAGACUGCUACGGUGGGCAGCGGUGGGGAAUAUUGCACAAUGGGCGGAAGCCUGAUGCGGAAACGCCGCGUGCGGGAUGACGGCCUUCGGGUUGUAAACCGCUUUCGCCUGUGACGAAGCGUGAGUGACGGUAAUGGGUAAAGAAGCACCGGCUAACUACGUG